rnacentral:rRNA from 1 species
AUUCCAGCUCCAAUAGCGUAUAUUAAAGUUGUUGCGGUUAAAAAGCUCGUAGUUGGAUUUCUGCUGAGGACGACUGGUCCGCCCCCUGGGUGAGCAUCUGGUUCGGCCUGGGCAUCUUCUUGGGGAACGUAUCUGCACUUGAUUGUGUGGUGCGGUAUCCAGGACUUUUACUUUGAGGAAAUUAGAGUGUUUCAAGCAGGCCCGCGCCUUGAAUACAUUAGCAUGGAAUAAUAAGAUAGGACCUCGGUUCUAUUUUGUUGGUUUCUAGAGCUGAGGUAAUGAUUAAUAGGGACAGUCAGGGGCACUCGUAUUCCGCCGAGAGAGGUGAAAUUCUCAGACCAGCGGAAGACGAACCGCUGCGAAAGCACUUGCCAGGGAUGUUUUCAUCA